rnacentral:rRNA from 1 species
ACGAACGCUGGCGGCGUGCCUAAUACCUGCAAGUAGAACGCUGAAGAGAGGAGCUUCCUCUUCUUGGAUGAGUUGCGAACGGGUGAGUAACGCGUAGGUAACCUGCCUUGUAGCGGGGGAUAACUAUUGGAAACGAUAGCUAAUACCGCAUAACAAUGGAUGACACAUGUCAUUUAUUUGAAAGGGGCAAUUGCUCCACUACAAGAUGGACCUGCGUUGUAUUAGCUAGUAGGUGAGGUAAUGGCUCACCUAGGCGACGAUACAUAGCCGACCUGAGAGGGUGAUCGGCCACACUGGGACUGAGACACGGCCCAGACUCCUACGGGAGGCAGCAGUAGGGAAUCUUCGGCAAUGGGGGCAACCCUGACCGAGCAACGCCGCGUGAGUGAAGAAGGUUUUCGGAUCGUAAAGCUCUGUUGUAAGUCAAGAACGGGUGUGAGAGUGGAAAGUUCACACUGUGACGGUAGCUUACCAGAAAGGGACGGCUAACUACGUG